CUCACCUCCAUUUUUCACACGCACACACUCGCACUCUCCUCUAGGGUUUAAGCAAAAAGCACUUCAUUUCCCAAUCUACUCCUCAAAAAACCCUAAAUCCCCAAAUUUGAACUAGGGUUUUACCACAAUGUAUCUCUACAGUUUAACUCUCCAAAAACCCACCGGAAUACUCUGCGCCAUCAACGGCAGUUUCUCCGGCGGAAAAUUACAAGAAAUCGUCGUGGCACGUGGCAAAGUAUUAGACCUAAUCCGACCCGAUGAUAACGGUAAGCUUCAAACCUUAUUAUCCGUUGAAAUAUUCGGAUCUAUACGUUCUUUAGCUCAAUUUCGGUUAACAGGUGCACAAAAAGAUUAUAUCGUAGUCGGGUCGGAUUCGGGUCGGAUAGUUAUAUUAGAAUAUAAUAAAGAAAAGAACUGUUUUGAUAAAGUACAUCAGGAGACUUUUGGGAAAUCAGGUUGUAGACGGAUAGUUCCGGGUCAGUAUUUGGGUAUUGACCCGAAAGGUAGAGCUGUUAUGAUUGGUGCUUGUGAGAAACAGAAAUUAGUUUAUGUAUUGAAUAGGGAUACUGCUGCUAGGUUAACGAUUUCGUCGCCAUUAGAAGCACAUAAGAGCCAUACGAUUACGUUUUCGAUAUGUGGGGUUGAUUGUGGUUUUGAUAACCCGAUAUUCGCUGCGAUUGAGCUGGAUUACGCGGAGGCGGAUCAAGAUCCGACGGGUCAAGCUGCGAACGAGGCGCAGAAGCAUUUGACGUUUUAUGAGUUGGAUUUGGGGCUUAAUCAUGUUUCGAGGAAGUGGUCUGAGCAGGUUGAUAAUGGUGCGAAUUUGCUCGUGACGGUUCCCGGUGGUGGGGAUGGUCCGAGUGGUGUGCUUGUUUGUGCGGAGAAUUUUGUUAUUUAUAAGAAUCAGGGACAUCCUGAUGUUCGGGCUGUUAUUCCGAGGAGGGUAGAUUUGCCAGCGGAACGUGGGGUUUUGAUUGUUUCGGCUGCUAUGCAUAAGCAGAAGUCGAUGUUUUUCUUUCUUCUGCAAACCGAGUAUGGAGAUAUUUUUAAGGUGACGUUGGAUCAUGAUAAUGACAGGGUUAAGGAGUUAAAGAUCAAGUAUUUUGAUACGAUUCCGGUCAGUUCUUCUCUGUGUGUGAUGAAGUCGGGGUUUCUGUUUGCUUCGUCAGAGUUUGGGAAUCAUGCGUUGUAUCAGUUUCAGGCGAUAGGAGAUGACCCGGAUGUCGAAGCUUCAUCAUCGACGUUAAUGGAAACUGAAGAAGGUUUUCAGCCUGUAUUUUUCCAGCCAAGAAAGCUGAAGAAUCUUGUUAGGAUCGAUCAGGUUGAGAGCUUGAUGCCAAUCAUGGAUAUGAAAAUUGUGAAUCUUUUCGAGGAGGAAACUCCACAAAUAUUUUCGCUUUGUGGGAGGGGUCCUCGGUCUUCAUUGCGCAUACUUAGGCCAGGUUUAGCUGUUAGUGAAAUGGCUGUGUCACAGCUUCCUGGUGUUCCAAGUGCUGUCUGGACUGUGAAAAAGAAUGUUAAUGAUGAGUUUGAUGCCUACAUUGUUGUCUCUUUCGCGAAUGCAACUCUUGUGCUUUCUAUUGGUGAGACAGUUGAAGAAGUUAGUGACAGUGGGUUUCUUGAUACUACUCCAUCUCUUGCUGUUUCAUUGAUCGGUGAUGAUUCGUUGAUGCAAGUUCAUCCCAGUGGAAUAAGGCAUAUUAGAGAAGAUGGUCGUAUUAAUGAAUGGAGAACUCCUGGAAAGAGAACUAUUGUCAAGGUUGGAUCGAAUAGACUUCAAGUGGUAAUUGCACUAAGUGGAGGGGAGCUGAUAUAUUUUGAAGUGGAUAUGACUGGCCAGUUGAUGGAAGUCGAGAAGCAUGAGAUGUCAGGUGAUGUAGCUUGUCUGGACAUUGCCCCUGUUCCUGAGGGAAGACAAAGGUCCCGUUUCCUUGCAGUUGGAUCAUAUGAUAACACUAUUCGUAUCUUGUCGUUGGACCCUGACGACUGUAUGCAGGUUCUGAGCCUUCAAAGUGUAUCUUCACCGCCAGAGUCUCUCCUUUUUCUUGAAGUUCAGGCCUCUGUUGGUGGAGAGGAUGGUGCAGAUCACCCUGCCAGCCUUUUCCUUAAUGCUGGUUUACAAAAUGGGGUUUUAUUCAGGACUGUGGUGGAUAUGAUAACUGGGCAGCUUUCAGAUGCACGUUCACGUUUCUUGGGGCUUAGGGCCCCUAAGCUCUUUUCCAUUGUUGUAAGAGGACGGCGUGCUAUGCUCUGUUUGUCAAGUAGACCAUGGCUAGGUUAUAUACACCAAGGACAUUUUCUUUUGACACCUUUGUCAUAUGAGACUCUAGAAUUUGCAGCCUCGUUUUCAUCCGAUCAAUGUGCAGAAGGUGUGGUAGCGGUUGCUGGGGAUGCAUUGAGGGUCUUCACGAUAGAGAGAUUGGGUGAGACUUUCAAUGAAACAGCUAUACCUUUAAGGUAUACACCAAGAAGGUUUGUUCUUCAACCCAAACGGAAGAUGGUGAUAAUGAUUGAGAGUGACCAGGGAGCAUAUACUGCAGAAGAGCGUGAAGCUGCCAAAAAAGAGUGCUUCGAGACAGCUGGGAAUGGUGAAAAUGGAAAUGCAGAACAAAUGGAGAAUGGCGAAGAUGAGGAUGGUAAUGAUCCACUAUCUGAUGAACAAUAUGGUUAUCCUAAAUCGGAAUCGGGAAGAUGGGUUUCCUGUAUCAGAGUCCUUGAUCCAAGGACAACACAAACCACUUGUCUGCUAGAGCUUCAGGAUAAUGAGGCUGCAUUUAGCAUAUGCACUGUUAAUUUCCAUGACAAGGAGCAUGGAGCUCUGUUAGCUGUUGGUACUGCCAAGGGCCUUCAGUUUUGGCCCAAAAAGUCGUUCGAAGCAGCAUACAUUCAUAUAUACAAAUUUAAAGAAGAUGGGAAGGUCCUAGAGCUUUUGCACAAGACACAGGUAGAUGGUGUGCCUCUUGCACUAUGUCAGUUCCAAGGAAGGUUACUGGCUGGUAUUGGGUCUGUCCUUAGGUUGUAUGAUUUGGGGAAGAAAAGACUGCUCCGAAAAUGUGAGAACAAGCUAUUCCCCAACUCAAUCACAGCUAUCCAUACCUAUCGUGAUCGGAUUUAUGUUGGUGACAUGCAAGAGUCAUUCCACUACUGUAAGUAUAGACGUGACGAAAAUCAACUGUACAUAUUUGCUGAUGACACGGUUCCGAGAUGGCUAACAGCAGCACAGCAUGUAGAUUUUGACACUGUGGCUGGAGCUGAUAAGUUCGGGAAUAUCUACUUUGUGCGAUUACCUCAGGACGUCUCAGAUGAGAUCGAAGAAGAUCCUACUGGUGGAAAAAUAAAAUGGGAGCAGGGGAAGCUGAAUGGUGCCCCAAACAAGGUUGAGGAGAUAGUGCAAUUUCAUGUUGGUGAUGUGGUCUCUUGCUUGCAAAGGGCAUCACUUAUUCCAGGAGGGGGCGAAUGCAUAAUCUACGGUACUGUGAUGGGAAGCGUCGGGGCAAUGCUUCCAUUUACCUCGAGGGAUGACGUUGACUUCUUCUCUCAUUUGGAGAUGCAUCUGAGGCAGGAGUUCCCACCUUUAUGUGGCAGGGAUCACAUGGCCUAUAGAUCUGCCUACUUCCCCGUUAAGGAUGUGAUAGAUGGAGACUUGUGUGAACAGUUCCCAACCUUGCCUAUGGAUAUGCAGCGCAAAAUUGCAGAUGAGUUGGAUAGGACACCAGGCGAGAUUCUGAAAAAGCUUGAAGAAAUAAGAAACAAAAUCAUUUGAGAACAUGUUUAGGCGAAGGUAAGUCUGCAUCCUUCGACUAAUCCACCAAGUACUUGUGACCUUCUAUCCACACGUGUUAAGUAACUUUUUCCACCAAGACAUAGACAGGUGAUGGUUUUAGUCUUAAUCAAUUUAAGGGACACGUCAUGUGGCAUAAGAGGAGCAUGCUGCAGAGAGCUAUGGAAGUUUCAUCUGAUUUGAGCUUAUGUGGAUGCAAGAGAAGGGAGGCCAGCAUGUAAUCCAAGCUAUGUUCACUACAGAAGUAGUUGAAAAGGCGUGGAAUUAAUUAUCGCCAGCUUCUCUGUUGUAAUUAUGCUGUAGCCUAGUCUUUUCAACUGAUUCUUGUAGCAAAUUACCGGUUAACUUAAUUGUGUAUUUCCAGUUUGUUUCUGAGAAAUGUGGUCACACAAUGCAGAGGUUGAAUGACUUGCUUUAAA